UACGUAGGGUGCAAGCGUAUCCGGAAUUAUUGGGCGUAAAGAGCUCGUAGGCGGUUUGUCGCGUCUGCUGUGAAAACUGGAGGCUCAACCUCCAGCCUGCAGUGGGUACGGGCAAACUAGAGUGCGGUAGGGGAGAUUGGAAUUCCUGGUGUAGCGGUGGAAUGCGCAGAUAUCAGGAGGAACACCGAUGGCGAAGGCAGAUCUCUGGGCCGUAACUGACGCUGAGGAGCGAAAGCAUGGGGAGCGAACAGG
rnacentral:rRNA from 1 species